GACGAAGGGGGCUAGCGUUGUUCGGAAUUACUGGGCGUAAAGCGCGCGCAGGCGGUCUUCCAAGUCAGUGGUGAAAGCCCGGAGCUCAACUCCGGAACUGCCAUUGAAACUGUUAGACUUGAGGAUGAGAGAGGUGAGUGGAAUUCCCAGUGUAGAGGUGAAAUUCGUAGAUAUUGGGAAGAACACCGGUGGCGAAGGCGGCUCACUGGCUCAUUACUGACGCUCAGGCGCGAUAGCGUGGGGAUCAAACAGG
rnacentral:rRNA from 1 species